UACGGAGGAUGCGAGCGUUAUCCGGAUUUAUUGGGUUUAAAGGGUGCGUAGGCGGGCAUUUAAGCCGGCGGUCAAAUGUCGGGGCUCAACCCCGGCCUGCCGUCGGAACUGGGUGCCUUGAGUGGGCGAGAAGAAGGCGGAAUGCGUGGUGUAGCGGUGAAAUGCAUAGAUAUCACGCAGAACCCCGAUUGCGAAGGCAGCCUUCCGGCGCCCUACUGACGCUGAGGCACGAAAGUGCGGGGAUCGAACAGG
rnacentral:rRNA from 1 species